rnacentral:rRNA from 1 species
UACGUAGGGUGCGAGCGUUAAUCGGAAUUACUGGGCGUAAAGCGUGCGCAGGCGGUUCGUUGUGUCGGCGGUGAAAGCCCCGGGCCCAACCUGGGAAUGGCCGUUGAAACUGGCGAACUGGAGUGUGGCAGAGGGGGGUGGAAUUCCGCGUGUAGCAGUGAAAUGCGUAGAGAUGCGGAGGAACACCGAUGGCGAAGGCAGCCCCCUGGGCUAACACUGACGCUCAGGCACGAAAGCGUGGGGAGCAAACAGG